GAUGAACGCUAGCGGCAGGCUUAAUACAUGCAAGUCGAGGGACAGCACAGGUAGCAAUACUGGGUGGUAACCGGCAAACGGGUGCGGAACACGUACACAACCUUCCUUUAAGUGGGGGAUAGCCCAGAGAAAUUUGGAUUAAUACCCCGUAAUAUAGUUGAAUGGCAUCAUUUGAUUAUUAUAGCUACGGCGCUUAAUGAUGGGUGUGCGGCUGAUUAGAUAGUUGGCGGGGUAACGGCCCACCAAGUCUACGAUCAGUAGCUGAUGUGAGAGCAUGAUCAGCCACACGGGCACUGAGACACGGGCCCGACUCCUACGGGAGGCAGCAGUAAGGAAUAUUGGUCAAUGGACGCAAGUCUGAACCAGCCAUGCCGCGUGAAGGAUUAAGGUCCCCUGGAUUGUAAACUUCUUUUAUUUGGGACGAAAAAGGGUCUUUCUAGAUCAACUGACGGUACCCUCAAAGGAAGCACCGGCUAACUCCGUGCCAGCCGCCGCGGUAACAC
rnacentral:rRNA from 1 species